rnacentral:lncRNA from 1 species
AGAACUACAAGACCAAUUACUGAACGUGUGGAGUUUUUCUAUUGCAGCAAGAAGGGUUAAUUUAUAAGUAUUUAAUUCAGUUCUCAGUUUCAAGCAAGACCCAGGUAACUUGGCAUUUUUAUUUUUUUUUCUCUAAGCAAUUUGCAGCCAUAUAAGUUGCCAUUUUGGGCAAUGAUAUAGAACGAACACUGAAUAUAUAAGUUGCCAUUUUGGGCCAGUUCGUUUGCUUAUAUGAAAAUAACAGGCAACAUUAAUUAAAUUAAAAAUCUGAUAUUUUCUUUCUAUUAUUAGAGAUUAAAUUCUUUAACUGAAACAGGUACCUCUUAUUUUCUGGACAGGGGGUUAUUGAAGGAUGCCUCGGCACUCCAUUCACUGAUGCCUGCAGGUAUAAAGCAUAGCUUACAUUACUAUACAUAAUAGGUUUAAUAUUGCAAACACAAUUUAGAAAAGGAAAACAUAAUGAGUAUGAAAAGCACCGUAAUUGGAGUUCGUAGAGGAGUUGUGCAAUCUUUAGAGGCCUUAUAAGAAGACGGAGCAACUCUUGAACUUUCAAUCUUUUUGAUAGCGGGGGUAGAUAAUUUACCAGGUUCCCUGGCAGGUGUAAAAUUCAUCAACUUGCGUAGAGAUUUUGGUGUUGAUUUCUUCGUAUCUGUAGAGUAUAUUGUAGACUUCGUGGUACUUGGUGUGAAAUUGUUUUCUUUUCUGGGGUGCAGAGUAGCUAUGAAUUUGGCAGGGGAAGAUGCAACUUUACUUAACACUGUUGACCUCAAGGAAGAAAGAACUGGUCUCUUCUUGCUCACUGAUCGCGUAACAUCCUGAUUAUAGAUGCAAUUCUGUUGUAUAAAUCACAAUGGUAAGAUCAACAUAAAAUGAUGGGGUUUUAUAGCUUAUGAAAAUAGAAAGAUGAAUGGAAACAAAACUAUCACCUUUAGCAAAGGUUUCUUUAUCUGUGGUGUUCCAAUAGAUUCCAACCCAGAAACUAUAUUCUGAUCCUUAACAUUCUUGAGCUGUUUUAACGAUUCGACAUUGCUGGGAAUUUCCAGUAAAACCUCUGACUCUGUGACCGACUCAACUUCUCCCAACUUGCCUAUUUCCAAUUCAACAGGCUUUGCAUUUAUAAUAAGCUCGUCAGAAUUGACGACGAGUUCUUGUUGUUUUUCAGCAGCCACUUGGGAAUCCUCAAGCCCCAUUGUUUCUGAAUCAUGGGUGGUAUAAUUGCAGUCACCGCUUUCAAGUUCCGACUCAG